CUGGGAAGUCGUCUAAUGGUAGGACAGGGGACUCUGGAUCCUCUAAUGAUGGUUCGAAUCCAUCCUUCCCAGCCAG
rnacentral:tRNA from 1 species